rnacentral:rRNA from 1 species
UUAUUCCUACGGGGGGCAGCAGUGAGGAAUAUUGGUCAAUGGGCGGAAGCCUGAACCAGCCACGUCGCGUGAGGGAAUAAGGCCCUACGGGUCGUAAACCUCUUUUGCCGGGGAGCAAGGGCCGGGACGCGUCCCGGCCCGGAGAGUACCCGGAGAAAAAGCAUCGGCCAACUCCGUGCCAGCAGCCGCGGUAAUACGGAGGAUGCGAGCGUUAUCCGGAUUUAUUGGGUUUAAAGGGGGCGUAGGCGGGCUUUUAAGUCAGCGGUAAAAAUUGGGGG